rnacentral:rRNA from 1 species
UACGUAGGCAGCAAGCGUUGUUCGGAAUUACUGGGCGUAAAGAGUGUGUAGGCGGUGCUCCAAGUCUGGUGUGAAAUCUCCCGGCUCAACUGGGAGGGUGCGCUAGAAACUGGAAUGCUAGAGGAUGGGAGAGGUAAGCGGAAUUCCUGGUGUAGCGGUGAAAUGCGUAGAUAUCAGGAGGAACACCUGUGGUGUAGACAGCUUACUGGACCAUUUCUGACGCUGAGACACGAAAGCGUGGGUAGCAACCAGG